rnacentral:rRNA from 1 species
UACGGAGGGGGCUAGCGUUGUUCGGAAUUACUGGGCGUAAAGCGCACGUAGGCGGACUGUUAAGUCGGGGGUGAAAUCCCGGGGCUCAACCCCGGAACUGCCCUCGAUACUGGCAGUCUAGAGGAAGGUAGAGGCUAGUGGAAUGGCGAGUGUAGAGGUGAAAUUCGUAGAUAUUCGCCGGAACACCAGUGGCGAAGGCGACUGGCUGGACCUUUUCUGACGCUGAGGUGCGAAAGCGUGGGGAGCAAACAGG